AACGAACGCUGGCGGUAUGCUUAACACAUGCAAGUCGAACGAACAAAAUUGGGGCUUGCUCCAAUUUUAGUGAGUGGCAAACGGGUGAGUAACACGUGGGAAUCUACCUAUCAGUACGGAAUAACAUUUGGAAACAGAUGCUAAUACCGUAUAUUCUCCAAGGAGGAAAGAUUUAUCGCUGAUAGAUGAGCCCGCGCAAGAUUAGGUAGUUGGUAGGGUAAUGGCCUACCAAGCCGACGGUCUUUAGCUGGUCUGAGAGGAUGAUCAGCCACACUGGGACUGAGACACGGCCCAGACUCCUACGGGAGGCAGCAGUGGGGAAUAUUGGACAAUGGGCGAAAGCCUGAUCCAGCAAUACCGCGUGAAUGAUGAAGGCCUUAGGGUUGUAAAGUUCUUUUAGUUGGAAAGAUAAUGACGGUACCAACAGAAAAAGCCCCGGCUAACUCCGUACCAGCCGCCGCAGUAA
rnacentral:rRNA from 1 species